GACGUAGGGCGCGAGCGUUGUCCGGAUUUAUUGGGCGUAAAGAGCUCGUAGGCGGCUUGUUGCGUCGACUGUGAAAACCCGCGGCUUAACUGCGGGCUUGCAGUUGAUACGGGCAGACUAGAGUGCUGUAGGGGAGACUGGAAUUCCUGGUGUAGCGGUGAAAUGCGCAGAUAUCAGGAGGAACACCGGUGGCGAAGGCGGGUCUCUGGGCAGUAACUGACGCUGAGGAGCGAAAGCGUGGGGAGCGAACAGG
rnacentral:rRNA from 1 species